rnacentral:misc_RNA from 1 species
AAAUAGCCCCUAUAAAAUAAAAAUCCUGUUAUUGCGAUUCUGAAAUUCUAAUUUGAGAAACUGCUUUUGCUCGCAAUGACAGAUUGGAAUGAUAGCGGAAACGUAA